UAUUAUGAAAAAUUGAGUUGUUGAACGAAGAGCAGCGAUAUGAUAGCUGGGGCUUGUUUACUCUAGCCACAUCUAAACUGGCGGCUGUUUACGUUUUACUGUAUAUACCGCGCCACGGCGCGCUGAAUUCCAUAAACUUGAAAUGGUGUAACGUUUUAAUUGCCGCUAUCAUAAUCGUCGCAUCGGAUAAGCUUUUUCGGUUCGUUAUUGAAGUCUUGACUCCAUCACGAAUAUGGAGAACCGCGACGUGUGGCGUUACUCGUGGUAACGUUGAGUAAUCGCUGAGCAUCAUGGGAGAGAGAGUUCUACAAAUUUCUUACGGAAUACAUAGACACGUCAGGACGUUACCAACAUCCUGUCGCGCAGCUGAAACGAUCAGUCACACAUUGUCCAAAGCGGGGCUACUGAUGUCGUUUUGUAAGAAUAAUGGACGAUUUUCAAGUUGUACCUCUUAUUCCACCGGCAACGGAACCGUCCACAGCAAAGUCCUUGUUUCAGAGGAUGAACGGCUGGAAAGACACUCCAUGACAGCCUGUGUUAUCCAAAAAAGAAUGUGACCUUUUGUGAAUACGUUUUUGCUCAGUGUAUGUCUUCUGAAACCUUCUAACGAUAUUUUUCAUCAACUUCUGCAGAUUCUGGGCGAAAGAUUGCGACAAGCGAUUUGCAUCUCUCUAUUUAAGCUGAAUUAAUCAAUGACAGGAGCUCUCCAAAGGCCGAAGGAGAGCAUCUAAUAGUGCAGGGUUCGGGAUAUGCGGCGGAUGCAUUGAAAUUUCUCAUCAGUUUGUACCAGGUAGCUGAAAAUGUAAGUAGUCUGACAUUGUCGUGGUCGAAGACGACGUUUUUUUCUUUACUGGAUCUGGUGCAGUGGCUUAUUAGUUGUUGUCAGUAGAGGUCAGAAUCGAUCGUUUCGCCCCGUGGCACCAACCUAUAUGCUUUGUUCCCUCAUCUUGUUGGCGUCAGUGCGGGCUUUGUUGCAGGUUGUGGACUGUGCGUCCCGUACUUCAGUUGCACAUUAUUGUCAGAUCAACCACUUUCAAACGAUCUGAUUUCCUUGUAUUUCCGUAGAGUCUCGCAAACAGAAGUACGAUUGAGUGAUCGAACUUAUUCGUAGCGGGUUUUUUUGAACUAGUUUCAAACAGGUUGAUGGUCGGUAUUUAGUUGUUUGACGAUAACGUGGCUCAACUUAACAACCCUUUCUCUUAUUAGUCGACCACUACGAGCAGCGUCAUGCGCAUCGAAGUUUGGGCCCGUUGUUUUCUAUAACGCACCUUGACCAUCAACAGCCCAAUUUUUUAUACGCUGGGUCUGGACAGCAUUUGUGUCUUUAGCAAAAUGCAACCGUAAAGUCUUUGAAAAAAAUACACGUAUCUUUAAAAUAUUCUAUCUUAGGUGUGAGUAUGAGCGGGUCUCGAACAGUUUUUACAUUAACUAUCAUGAAACACAUGUCCUCAAAGACACAUUACUGUUUUCACACAUUAAACAUUGAGGUUAUAUACGCGUGUCUAUGAGGUUCUACCAGACUAAGACGUUGGGGGCAAAAUAUGUAUGCGCACUUCAAUUACACACUUACGCAUAUAUGUGCCGAUAUAAUAUACGUCGGCAUAGGCCUCCUACGUCAUUCACCAGUUGCUCCUGCCUUGUGCAUACCUAGCACAUUUAACAUUAGUUUUAAAGCGCUGAGACGAAGAGAGUACACAGAUUAAGGUUGAUACAUUAUUAUUGUCAUUUAUUUUUGCAAAGGCGUCAUGGUACACAUACAGAUCAUGUAUAACUAUAUAUAGGUAUGUAUAUGUAAGUA
rnacentral:lncRNA from 1 species